rnacentral:rRNA from 1 species
UACGUAGGGACCAAGCGUUGUUCGGAUUUACUGGGCGUAAAGGGCGCGUAGGCGGCAAUUCAAGUCAUCUGUGAAAUCUCCGGGCUUAACCCGGAACGGUCAGAUGAUACUGCUUUGCUAGAGUGCGGAAGGGGCAAUCGGAAUUCUUGGUGUAGCGGUGAAAUGCGUAGAUAUCAAGAGGAACACCUGAGGUGAAGACGGGUUGCUGGGCCGACACGUGACGCUGACAGCGCGAAAGCCAGGGGAGCAAACGGG